rnacentral:ncRNA from 1 species
GGUCUUCGGGGGCCGUGGUGGACUUCCGGGGCCAGCUACGGCGGCAGGAGAGGAAGCCCGGUGCGAUUCCGGCGCGGUCCCGCCACUGUGACCGGGGAACAGGAGCCCCGGGAGCCAGGAACUCUCACCGCCGGACUCUUCGAA